rnacentral:lncRNA from 1 species
UUUUUUUUUUUUUUUUUUUAGGGCCACACCUGUGGCACAUGGACGUUUCCAGGCUAGCGGUCGAAUCAGAGCUGCCGCUGCCGGUCUAUACCACAGCCACAGCAACGCUAGAUCCGAGUGGCAUCUUAGACCUACACCGCAGCGUGUGGCUCUUUAAUCCACUGAUGGAGGAUCCGGCGUUGCUGUGAGCUGUGACGUAGGUCGCAGACGUGGCUCCAAUCCUGCAUUGCUGUGGCCUAAGCCGGCAACUAUAGCUCCAAUGCGACCUGGGAACUUGCAGAGGCUACAGGUGCACCCCCCCAAAAAAAAACCCAGCAAUUAAGAAGGGAGAGAAAGAAAGAAAUCAAAUAAUGCCAAAUAGAAGACAGUUUUCUAAAUCAGGACAAGUCAAUGAGAGACUCAAUCAAUGGUGGUGUCUAAACAACCACAUGUUAAGAAAGGGCACAGCAAGCAAUACUUUCCUUAAGGAAGCCGACGGAAGACACACGUGUUGGUCAUCCAGGCUGAGCACAGAUCCGGCCUUGGCUGUAAGGUGAUGGGUCUCUGGAGCUUCACUGUCACCCAGACCAGCACCACACAGCUUGGUGCAGAGACUUGAACUCUGAUGUGCUCUGUCAGCUGCAAACCCUGGCCCUGGGGAGGGUUUGCUACCCCCCAGCCUGGUCCCGGGGGACUUGGACAGGAAGCGGGUUUGGCUUCAACUCAUUCAAGGCACCGCAGCCUGGAAACGCUCGCAGGCGAAAUGUACACGAGCGGGCGUGAGGGUGGCCAAUCAGGGCCGCCUGGGAAGCCUUCUGGUGAAACCGGAAUUUCGCAAAAGUUACCAUUUUUCAAAUACGUGUGUCCCACACGUAACUUGCUGUUUACCUGAAAUGCAGGUUAAAGACCUCUCUCCCUGUGUUUGUAACUGCUUGAUCUGAGGUCAAGGGCUGAAUCGUGGUCCCUCAAGUUCGAGCAGAGACGCCCUGGCCCCAAGGAUCAGAAGGGGAUUUAUUUGCACACGGGGCCUUGAGAGAGAUGAUGAGGUCAACAUGACACACGCAGGCGGAGGGGCCGUGAGGACACAGGGAGAAGGGCUGCCUGCAAGCUGAGGCCCCCCCCGGCUGACACACCUGGAUCUCGGGCUCCCAGCUCCAGAGCUUGGAAACCACAAGCUGCCUGGUCUGUGGCGGGAACGCAGCCCUGGAGAUGGAUGCAUCUGAUAAUUCCAGUUCCAAUAAAAGUUUAUUUAUAAAAACAGGGGGCCAGUUCAUGGGCCGGAACUUGCCAGCCUCUGUUCUGGAGAAAAAGCAAGGCCAAACCAAGGCGAUGUUGCGAGGCGCCCCGGAGGGGGUGGUCUCCGUGGUCCAGCCUUGCCCACCGGCUGCAGACCCCGCGGUCCUGGAACUCACGGCUUUGGCCUCCACUCUGGUGGGAAUGGGGCAUGGCAGACUUGGUCUGCGCUGGGGGGAAAGCCGUGUCGGGGGGCCCCCCGACCUUCCCCAGGUGUGCUGGCUCCUCCUGGCACCACCCAGCAGGCCCUUCGGAGCCCAGCCCUCCUCCGCCACCAUCGGGUGUCCCCUCAGCCGUGCAUCCCGCCCUGAACACCAGCCACAUCCGCGAGGAAGAGACGCCUGGGGGUGUCUGGCUUUUAUGAGCGCACAACGGCCCAUGACCUGAUGACAAGGCCGGGGCCUGGGGGCGUCAGACAGGAGGGCAGGUGGCCUCCCCAGCGCCCAGGCGCUUCCACAGAGCAGGUGGAAGGCCUGCAGCCCUGGGCUGAGGCAUCUGCUCUGGUCUGAACGUGUGUGUUCCCCACAUUCGCGUUGAAGCCUCACCCCAAAGGCUGCCAUGUGGGCAGGUGGAGCCUCGGGGGUGAUGAGGCCAUCCUGGUGGGAAGCUGUCCCCAGGGGCUCAUCGCAGGCAGACUCUCAUCCUCAGGCUCCUGGGACAGCUGCCUGCUCCAAGCGUCCGUGCUCUCGGCAGAGCCCAGGUUUCUGGGGGCAGUUGCUGGGCUUCUCCCAUUAUGUGCUAACUUUUCUCUGCAGUAAAACCCGUAACACAAUUUUUUUUUUUCCUAUUUCUGGGCUCUUGACUCAAGUGGAAUUUUCCAAACUCACAGACCCUUGUGGUCCUCGGCCCGUGAUCUGACCCGUGGAUCAGAGUUUACUGCAGCGAAGCCAGCGGGCGUGAGGCUCUCUGAGCCGGCAUCCUGUGGGCACACGUGUGUGCAACGCGAAAUCGGUUACCGCGAAAUACCUUGACGUUAGAAGGCAAAGCUUCGUGUCCCGAUGGGUCACCAAGUCAUCCCGUUUCUCCCCACCAGCCCCUCUCACUCCCCACACCUGAGCACACAGACACGGGACGUGUACUCACACGCACACACAGCCUGGUGCUGGGGGCUGUGUACCUGGCAGACGCUCCCCCCGCCCCGAUACCUCCAAACAGAACUCGUGCCCAGCGGCAUGUUAAAUGCCCCUUGAAGCUACUAGAGGGCCACUGUCAAAAUGCCCACAGGCACGCCAGCCAUGCCGGGAGAUGAUGGCGCCGAUUGCCCACUGCCACCUGGCAUCUUGCACCCAGGCCCUUGGGACUGGACAGAGUUGACCUAAUCGCCGGAUCAGUCUGGGCAAAGCAGAAGUCAGCUCCUUCCAGAAGCAAAUCAAUGACAAGAACAGCAGCAGCUGCACUGAACAGUCUCUCCACGGAAAGAAUCACGCGGUAGCUCUGGAGUUUAAAGAUUUCCAGGGAAAUGGAGCCACCGGGCAUCAUGCGCCCAAGCCAGGACACUGCCUCUCGCCCGCAGCCGUCCCAGCGCACCGAACAAGCACAGGGCAGCAGCCCUGCUCAGGCUGAAAGGCACAGGCAGGCACCAGGGUGGCCUCCGUGCUCACAUCUGUCGGCUCCAGGUCAGCGAGUGUCCCAGGUGAGACUCAGAGGCAGAAGCAAAACACCGAACCAAAAUAAAAGCACAGGCUUCUACAAAGGCCGUGCUGUGCAGCACGGGGCCGAGGGCAGGGCUGCGCAGAGCAGAUAGGAGCCCCCUCGGGAGGGUCGGUCCGGCCUCGAGGACGCACGAACCCCGGGUGGACCCACUCCCGGGCCGCCUUCCAUGUCUGGGCCUCAUUUUGCCUCCAGAUCCUUGUGUCGCAGGGAGCGGUCGUUACUGACAAUGACCAUGGGACUCGGGGCCGCCGCGCGCUCCAAAGACUCCGUUGGCCGCUGCCCAGCUCAGCGCAGGUUGGGCCACUGCCAGCGGCGCGGAUGGACUUGGACGGACACCGGGAGGCGGAGGACCCGAGCAUUAUUUAGACUUUGUGGUUUCAUCCUGGGCAUGUGCCCAUUUAGGGAAAGUUACAGAUUCCGCAUCCCUGCUCUUGACCAAUUUGCCAAAAUACUAACGCCAGGGAUUAUGGAACUGACACACGCGCAAGAUUCAGAAGGCGGCCGGGUCCCCUCGACCUGGCUCUUCCUGAAGCACAUGUGCCGGUCAGCAGGGGACAGAUGUCUGGGUGGGGCUGGAUGCUCCACAGACACGCGGCGCAGGUUCUGGGGGGCUGGGCUGUGCCCUGUAUCAAACAGCCCCAAUGUCAGCCCAGCCUCCUUUCCAUCCUUCAGCUCCCCGUCAGCUGGCCACCCCAGUCCCGGGGAGCAGGCUGGUCCAGGGGGUGUCUUCCUCUCCAGCCUGCACCCACCCAGCCCCUGGGAGCUUCACCUGCUCACAGGGCACAGGCAGGAAGCCGCCAGGACCGGACGGACCCCCCCAUCCACACGCUAAGCUGGAGCCACAGCCACAGCGGCACAGGUUCUCCUGCACAGCCCUGCCAGCGGCUCCUCAACCCACCUCCUUCAGCCGUGGCCCCGUCCACCUGCCUCCGGGGGAAAUGGGUGCCCUGCCUGCACCUCAGCACAGAGCUCAGGUCCACACGGGGGAGGUGGCCUCGGGCUGCCAUCACGAGCACACGGGGCCCACCUGUCCCACACCAGGCAGCUGCAGGUCUCAAGCCCCAGGACCAAGACCAAUGGACCGGCCCUGGAGGAAACACACAGCCGACUCAGCUCAGGCCUGGGCUGGGCAGCUGCCGUCGGCCCCCACCAGGCUGGUCUGUGUCACCGAGCCACCGAGCCCGUCUGAACGGCUCACAGUCAAGUCCGGAGAACCACAACCGCGUCCGGGAGGCAUGUGAGCAAUGCGGGGGGCGGAGGAAGGGCUGAGAAACCAGCCCCUCCUCUGGUUUCCACGCAAAUGAAACCACUGAAACCACGAGGCACUGUUGCAAUAGCGGAGGAGAAGAGCCCUGGCUCUGGCUGCACCCUGGCAGGUCACGGAGGGCAGGUGGGCGCGGCUGGCAAAGGAGGGACACAAAGAGGGUGCUGCGGAGUCUCAAACUGAGAAGCAGCGAGAAGGGCUUCUAUCCCGCAGCGCCAAGGACCCACAUCUAGAAAGACAGUCACAUGGGACGAGGGGGACAGGAGGUAACCAGGCAAGGAAACGAGAAGCAGAACAGGGGGGCAGCCUCAAACGGAAGGGGGUGAGGGAGGGAUCACGCAACGAGGAAGGAGGGAUGGAGGUGAAUGAAAUUAACGCACAGUAAUGCAAGUUCCAGAAGGAGAACUGGUCUGCACAGCAGCCUCAGAAGGAGGGCCCUGAAGUUCUGACACGCUGACGCAGGGGCAUUUCUCCUGCCGGAGCCACGCAUCCUGCCCCAGGGUCACCACCUGUGAGGGCCGGGCAGCGGGUGGUGGGCACACGCCCGCGGGGAGGAAUCAAAAUUCAGGGAAGGAGGAGUGCCCGUCACGGCUCCAUGGAAACAAACCUCACUAGUGUCCAUGAGGACGCAGGUUUGAUCCCUGGGCUCGCCCAGUGGGUUAAGGAUCUGGUGUUGCUGUGAGCUGUGGUGUCGGUUGCAGACACAGCUCAGAGCUGGUGUUGCUGUGGCUGUGGCGUAGGCUGGUGGCUUCAGCUCCGAUUUGACCCAUAGCCUGGGAAGCUCCGUGUGCUGCAGGUGUGGCCCUAAAAAAAAAAAAAAAAAAAAA